rnacentral:tRNA from 1 species
GAGUGCAUAACUCAGUGGUAGAGUGUGUGCUUAGCAUGCAUAAGGUCCUGCAUUCA